CCUACGGGUGGCAGCAGUAGGGACUUUUGCGCAAUGGGCGAAAGCCUGACGCAGCAACACCGCGUGAAUGUUAAGCCUUUCGGGGUGUAAAGUUCUGUCAAUAGGGACGAAUUUUGACUGUAACUAUAAAGGAAGCACAGGCUAACUCCGUGCCAGCAGCCGCGGUAAUACGGGGGGUGCAAGCGUUAUCCGGAAUCAUUGGGCGUACAGCGUUCGUAGGCGGCAAGGUAAGUCAUAUGUUAAAGCCCGGGGCUCAACUCCGGUUCGGCAUUGGAUACUAUCUAGCUAGAGUGUGGUAGAGGUAAAGGGAAUUCCUGGUGUAGCGGUGAAAUGCGUAGAUAUCAGGAGGAACACCGGUGGCGAAAGCGCUGUACUGGACCAUUAUUGACGUUGAGGCUCGAAAGCGUGGGGAGCAAACAGGAUUAGAUACCCGAGUAGUC
rnacentral:rRNA from 1 species